rnacentral:tRNA from 1 species
CGGGGUGUGGUGCACCGGUAGCACGCUACGUUCGGGACGUAGAGGUACUGGGUUCAAUUCCCGGCACCCCGACAA